rnacentral:lncRNA from 1 species
CUCAAAAGACUCUAUAAGACUGUGGUGUUAAAAGGCUUUCCUCUGGAGAAAGAGAAACAAAUCAACUGGAACUUAAAAGCUUGAAAUUCCAUGACAAAACACAGAUGUCCAGGAUUGGAGUUCGUGAAGUAUCUGCAGUAAUUGGAGUGGAUACGCUUUUCACUGGAGCUACCACCAUGAACUCCAGGGUCCCAGAUUUUCAAGAAGUGGACCUGUGACCCAGAAGAGCUUGUCAAGAUAUGACAGAACUCUGGAGGUGGACGUUUUGUAUUCGAUUUUGGAACUGCUAUCUUGCCGUGAGUAAAGAGGCAACAACUCACCCAGCACUGCCACCAGCACUGUCACUGGGAACUUGAAGACCCAAGCUUCUGUCCAGACCCUCAGUGCAAACUGACAACACUCCAUCCAAAGUGAACUACGUCCCGUGCCUCCUGAUUGCUGAAUGUUCAUUCACCUGGACCGUCCAAUGACCUUCCUUCUGCUACUCCAUCAGCCUACAGACCUGGUACUUGGAUUUUUGUCCAUGGUGAUUCCUACCACCUUACUACUGAAGAAGACACCAUUCCAGUGGACCACUGUGACCCAAGAAGCAUUCAGCCAUCAUGAUGUGGCCUUUACCUCCACUCCUGUCUACUCUGCCCAGAUUCAGCACAGCCCUUUAUAAUGCAGUCAAGAGUCUUCAAGCCAAAUAACUGAAGCUAUUUUAUCACAACAAAGGCCAAGUUUAUUCCAUAAAUGUACAGUUCAUUUCUGCAGUUUAUUCUUCAGAGACACAUAGUAAACUUGGACCAGGGGAUUUUGUUUUGUUUAUAUUGUCAACACUGAAGAAAGGCAUCAUCUCUGAGAACUCCACAAUCUCAAAUGACUGAAGUUUCAUGAACUGCCUAGGAUCCUGUCAAGGUCACUGGACUCUUAAUUUUCCUACUUCAAAUCUAUAGCUGUCUACUGAAUGAGAAAGCAGAUAUUCUGACCCAUUGGGAUUGAAACCAAGGCAUACUGAAUUCCUCAUAGUAUCAUCUGUGGGUUACUCAGGAACCAAAACUUUUAACACCAAUUUAAGAAAUUCUACUGAGGAAUCCCUUUAUCUAACCAUCUCACAAGGCUUCAACCAGAUUCCUGAAAAGACCUCUUGAUAUAUCAAGAUAGAACUUACAUGCAUUUUGUGAACAACUUAUCACUGAUUUAACAAAGGCUUUGUGCUCAUGAAGUUCUUUGAAGGGGCGCUCUAUGGAAGUCCAGAGUAACGUGAAGCUGCUCUCGAUGAAGAAGUGAAGUGGGAAUUGAGGACUGCAACCUGCCACAACCAUCUUUACCACCAUGGUGAUGCCUAAAGGGACUUCCUUAUGUAAAAUUCUUCAGAAAAUACUGCUUGAAACCACUACCCUAGAAAAACGUGUUUGACAUGAAUGGCAUUCUCUUCUUUUAUGUACUUCUAACUCAGAACAGUUCAUAUUCAGUUGAAGAUGCUUUAUCCAGAGAAUGAUAACUACAGCAUUGUCUAAUGAAGUUUUAAUAGCAUUCCAUCCAAGGUGGACUUCCUGGAGUUGGAUAUAACCAGAGAACAAUUCAUAUGUAUCCUACACUGAAGAACCCCAUUAACUUUCAGAAACCUAAAACUAGUGGUACUGGAAGUACGUGACUUGGAAGUCUGUGUAAAUUGCCUGAGAGCUGGUAUUGAAGCUGAUGCCUCCUCGAGGCCAUCUUAGACCAAGUUGUUCGGUUGUUAACUAUGGUACUCCAUGUACAAAGGAUAACCAUUAACUAUGAAGCAGAAUUGAAAUACAAUUUUUCCUAAAGGGACUUGCAACCUGGUUAUUCAUUGUCUCGAGUUUCAAGUCAUUUUGAUGCAACUAGUAGUUAUUAAACUGCUCCAUGUCUUUUUGUUAUUUAAUAAAUACUCUUUCCAGGGCUUAAAAAACCAAAACUAAAUUUCUCCAACACGUCUGUACUUGUCUAUUCAAAAUUAACUACUCACCACUACAUGGAACAGAUGAUUCUGAAGACACGCUCUUUGAGCAUCUUUUAUCAUACAUGUGACUUAAAAUGUGGCUGGACAGUUUCCCUCUACCCAGUGAAAUAUUUAAUGAUUAGCCUUCAUUCAUGCCUGAUACCAUCGAUAUAUAUGUAUGUGGUGGGCAAAGUUUGACAUAGGCAUUUGACUCUAGGAUGUGAUAGCUUGUUAGUCACUUCAAGUAGCAUAUUGUCAACCUGUUUGCUGGAAAAAUAGACUAACUUGGAAAAAUCUAUAAAUGGCAGCUAAGAAUUUUUUUCAGUAUUCCUGAGUUUCUGUCCUUGGGAUAUUUCAAUGGAAUUUCACCUGUCCCUUCACUGAACAGACUGACUUUAUUCCUUACUAUGAAGUAUUCUUAAGACAUUAAGAUUACUUUUAUAGAAAGGAUAAAAUUCCUGACUAUCCAAUCAUCAUAGUGAACAAGACUUCAAUUUGUGACCUGUGAAAAAUCUCAUUUCUCUACUUCAUAGUCAAUUUAAGGGCCAAACGCCAUCAGCUACUCUGAGUGCACUGGGUAAACGUUGGAACUGCCUUCUUUAUAUCCUUGUUUCUUCUCUAAACUAAUCAUGAUUACAUGAUUCUUACCACAAAUCAAAUCACUCAGAUCUGGUUAGACUGCUCACAGUUAACAAAUCAAACUCUGGAUGACUUCUGCUUGUAUAUGCAACUACUAUUUGUAAAGAAAUUAGAGGUUCACUUUUUGAUUCCUCUACAUUGCUAGCUCUUUGUGUUUGUAUUCAAAACAAAACUAAGCUACACUGCCAAUUAUUCCCUCCUGCCAUACCCAGUUAAAAUGAAGAAUCGGGAAUCUAAUCAGUAAGCGGAUAAGUAGAAAAAACCAAAACUUAAGGCAAAAAAAAAAGCCUUAAUCUAGGGCCUUUUCUACUAUCUUCAUGUCUUGGAUUUCAUCUAAAUCAACAGUAUCACCCAACCAGUCUGAGGUCUUGACUUGCUUUUCAGAUGAUUCUUAGAGAUGGGCUGUAUUACAGAAGGUGAAGACUUGAUUACCAAAGAAAGUAGAGCCAACUAUGACAAAACCUGGCUCUACGAUCCUAUUGCUCCCAGAUGUAGCAUAGACUCAACUAGAACCUCAAGUCUGCGUUGAGGAUAUAGCCUUCUAAGCUGACAGUUCUUGCAAAGAUGAGCAAGAAAAUGAAAGCUGCUAUACCCAACUGGCCCUUUAAGAUCCAAAAAUAAUGUCUGGAGUAAACCCUGUGGAGUACCCAGGACAAAAACUAAUUUACAGAGCUUCAUUAUUAAUCUGCCUGUUCUUCUAGAUUAUAGUUUAACUAUUGGUGUGGCUGGCCCUGCUGAAGUUGUUUGCCUGCUUACCUGUCUUCAGCUCCUAACCUACCUUUUUUGACAUGCUACUGCAAUCAGACUGACUGACUUUGAGAAAACUACACUUUCAGCCUCUCGUGCCCAAUUCCACCAAGGAAGUUUGACUAGAAGGAACUCAUACCUUACCCCCACCAGAACUAAUGUUCGUAACAGAAAGGAACAUGCUACAUAUUCCUUGACCAGCAACUCUAGAGAACAACCCUGCUUAUUUUCAACACCUGAUACAUCUAUUUGAUCUAAUAGGCGUAUAGAAGGUUGGCAGCAGAAUACAUUGCUUCUCUCUUUGGUAACUCAGAAAUGAAUAUAAUAAGUUCAACUUGACAAGAAUCAGAAACACCAGAAGUUUACUGCUGAACUUCAUUUGCCACUAACUCAAAUAGCAUCACAGACCUGCUUGCCAAGUAGGCGGCUAGUUUUCCUGCUUCAUAUCACCACUGCAGUGGGGCUUUGAUGAAACUGACUUGGAAGGGAACCUUAUGUUGAAUCCUAGACUAUGAUGCUAAGGAAAUUGUUUAUUCAAGUGAAUUGUAGGUUUCCUGAGGACAGAACAGACAUCACUCCUGGUGAUUUUUAGAAUUUGAUUAACCAAGGAAGAAAUACCAGCUGCUAAAAGUCAACUUUAUGGGCAAAGAUUAAGCUCUCUAUAUCUGAUCUUAUCCUGGAUGCCAGUUUUUUAUUGCCCAACGACCAUUUCCAUCUCACUCUUAACAACCUCCUGGUGUUUUUUGGAACCAUCUCUUCCAAUUUUCAGUCCUUGUGGUUUAAACAUUCUUUUCUGUGCUGGACAUUUUGUUGCAACCUCACCAAUCACAGUAAAGUCUAUCUUGACUCUGGUGAUUAGUUCAGGAAUGGAUGCAUGAUUCAAGUUUGUCCAAUGAUAAUCAACCCUAGGUGUUCUCAGUUGUGGAGAAGUUCUCUUAGAUGCUUUAGCUUUGUAGGAGAGAACUCAAACCAUCAGGGCCUACUAUGUUGAGUAAGCCAGGCAGAAAAUGAAGCCAAUACAGAGGGAAAUGGAGCCAAAAGAGGAAGAGACUUGAGUUCUGAUGACCACAUUUAUGCCCCUGUAUCCAACUGUGCCUGAAGCUAAUAGUACAUCACCUGGACUUUUCAGUUAUGUGAACCAAUAAAUUCCCUUUUUUGUUUAAA